GCCCAGUGAUGAGACCAAGGCGAAUACUAGCUAACUGACUGAGAGCUGGGUUCCUCUUUGUCUUGACUGGCAGGUAAUCUUGGCAGUGCAGAGGAGCGUUCCUGCUCUGCUGUAAGGGCCUGCCUACAGUGACAUGGCUCAACCCAAAUUAUUCCUCUACAGUCACAGAGUAAUUGCUGGGAUAAAGCUGACAGUUUGUUUUGUGUGUGUGUGUGUGUGUGUGUUUUGUGUAAGAGACGAGGAGUUCACCCAGCUCUCUUUACUGUUCAGUUUGCAAUGAGUUGCUUCUUUGGUAAUCUGAGGGCU
ensembl:snoRNA